GCACCUGUAGCUCAGCUGGAUAGAGCGUUGCCCUCCGGAGGCAAAGGUCAGAGGUUCGAAUCCUCUCAGGUGCGCCA
rnacentral:tRNA from 3 species